rnacentral:rRNA from 1 species
UACGUAGGGACCAAGCGUUGUUCGGAUUUACUGGGCGUAAAGGGCGCGUAGGCGGCGCGGUAAGUCGGGUGUGAAAUCUCGGGGCUUAACUCCGAAACUGCAUUCGAUACUGCUGUGCUUGAGGACUGGAGAGGAGACUGGAAUUUACGGUGUAGCGGUGAAAUGCGUAGAUAUCGUAAGGAAGACCAGUGGCGAAGGCGGGUCUCUGGACAGUUCCUGACGCUGAGGCGCGAAAGCGUGGGGAGCAAACGGG